GUACCUGAAGAAAAAGCAUCGGCUAACUCCGUGCCAGCAGCCGCGGUAAUACGGAGGAUGCAAGCGUUAUCCGGAAUCAUUGGGCGUAAAGGGUCCGCAGGUGGCGAAUAAAGUCUGCUGUUAAAGACCGGGGCUAAACUCCGGAAAGGCAGUGGAAACUGAUUAGCUAGAGUACGGUAGGGGUAGAGGGAAUUCCCAGUGUAGCGGUGAAAUGCGUAGAUAUUGGGAAGAACACCGGUGGCGAAAGCGCUCUACUAGGCCGAGACUGACACUGAGGGACGAAAGCUAGGGUAGCGAAAGGGAUUAGAUACCCCUGUAGUCUUAGCGGUAAACGAUGGAUACUAGGUGUAGCUUGUAUCGACCCGAGCUGUGCCGAAGCUAACGCGAUAAGUAUCCCGCCUGGGGAGUACGCACGCAAGUGUGAAACUCAAAGGAAUUGACGGGGGCCCGCACAAGCGGUGGAGUAUGUGGUUUAAUUCGAUGCAACGCGAAGAACCUUACCAGGGCUUGACAUGUCGCGAAUCUAGCGGAAACGUUAGAGUGCCUUAGGGAAUGCGAACACAGGUGGUGCAUGGCUGUCGUCAGCUCGUGUCGUGAGAUGUUGGGUUAAGUCCCGCAACGAGCGCAACCCUCGUCCUUAGUUGCCAAUAUUAAGAUAGGCACUCUAGGGAGACUGCCGGGGACAACUCGGAGGAAGGUGGGGAUGACGUCAAGUCAGCAUGCCCCUUACGUCCUGGGCGACACACGUACUACAAUGGUUGGGACAAAGGGCAGCAAACUCGCGAGAGUAAGCGAAUCUCAUCAAACCCAGCCACAGUUCAGAUUGCAGGCUGCAACUCGCCUGCAUGAAGUAGGAUUCGCUAGUAAUCGCAGGUCAGCAUACUGCGGUGAAUUCGUUCCCGGGCCUUGUACACACCGCCCGUCACACCAUGGAAGCUGGCUACGCCCGAAGUCGUUACCCUAACCCGGUUUUGGGAGGGGGAUGCCGAAGGUAGAGCUAGUGACUGGGGUGAAGUCGUAACAAGGUAGCCGUACCGGAAGGUGUGGCUGGAUCACCUCCUUUACAGGGAGACCUAGUCUAAUUACCAAUAGAUAAAAAAGUUGGUAAUUCGCAAGAAUCCUUAGGUCGUGAGGGGAGCAAGAAAAAACUUUCAAACUGUAAUGGGUGAGGGUCAAUGGGCUAUUAGCUCAGGUGGUUAGAGCGCACCCCUGAUAAGGGUGAGGUCCCUGGUUCAAGUCCAGGAUGGCCCACCUAAAAUACACAGGCAUCCUGCCUGUGCCACAAAAAAAGGAAAAAGUUUUGGCAUUGUCUCUUGUAAUCAAGAGCAAGAGAUAAUGCUGGAAUAGAUUCCAGCAAG
rnacentral:misc_RNA from 1 species